rnacentral:rRNA from 1 species
CCUACGGGGUGCAGCAGUGGGGAAUAUUGGGCAAUGGGCGCAAGCCUGACCCAGCAACGCCGCGUGAAGGAAGAAGGCUUUCGGGUUGUAAACUUCUUUUAAGAGGGAAGAGCAGAAGACGGUACCUCUUGAAUAAGCCACGGCUAACUACGUGCCAGCAGCCGCGGUAAUACGUAGGGAGCGAGCGUUGUCCGGAAUUACUGGGUGUAAAGAGAGCGUAGGCGGGGAUGCAAGUUGGGUGUCAAAACUACCGGCUCAACUGGUAGUCGCACUCAAAACUGCAGCUCUUGAGUGAAGUAGAGGCAGGCGGAAUUCCUAGUGUAGCGGUGAAAUGCGUAGAUAUUAGGAGGAACACCAGUGGCGAAGGCGGCCUGCUGGGCUUUUACUGACGCUGAGGCUCGAAAGUGUGGGGAGCAAACAGGAUUAGAUACCCUAGUAGUC